rnacentral:tRNA from 1 species
GCCUGGGUGGCUCAGUCAGUUAAGCAUCUGACUUCGGCUCAGGUAUUGAUCCUACGGUUUGUGAGUUCGAACCCCAUUUCGGGCU